UACGUAGGGACCAAGCGUUGUCCGGAAUCAUUGGGCGUAAAGCGCGCGUAGGUGGCCAUUUAAGUCCGCUGUGAAAGUCAGAGGCUCAACCUUUGAAAGCCGGUGGAUACUGGAUGGCUAGAGUACGGAAGAGGCGAGUGGAAUUCCGUGGUGUAGCGGUGGAAUGCGCAGAUAUCAGGAGGAACACCAAUAGCGAAGGCAGCUCGCUGGGACGUUACUGACACUGAGACGCGAAAGCGUGGGGAGCAAACAGG
rnacentral:rRNA from 1 species